UGAAUAGACGGAUUUGAGCUCCUACUUAAAGAUGAACCAUUGGCAUUCGUAACUGAGAGCCGUGGUGCAGAUUUUGCUCCGGUAGAAGCUGACAUUGGCUUUGACACUCUAGGGGUGGUAUUCUGCAGUAUCUUUGACACUCUAGGGGUAGUAUUCUGCGGUAUCUUUGACACUCUAGGGGUGGAAUUCUGUGGUGUUUUUGACACUCUAGAGGUAGAAUUCUGUGGUAACUUUGACACUCUAGGGGUGGAAUUCUGUGGUAACUUUGACACUCUAGGGGUUGGAUUCUGAGGUGUUUUAGUCAUUGGUGAAACUGAUUUCUUCUUGGCCUUUGCCACAGUCAUCCUCUCCUUGCUCACUGGAGU
rnacentral:lncRNA from 1 species